GGAAGGUGAAAAAUCGUAACAAGGUUUCCGUAGGUGACGACCUGCGGAAGGAUCAUUAAUGAAUUUUGAAAGGGGUUGUUGCUGGCCUUUUCGUUUGAGAGGCAUUUUGUGCACGCCCUGAUCAUUCUCCAUUUCAUACACCUGUGCACACACUGUAGGUCGGUUUGCGAGGUGGAGCCUUCAUUGGCGUAGCUUUGUAGGCCUUCCUAUGUUUUAUCACAAACUACUAGUUUAAAGAAUGUCUAUUGCGUGUAACGCAUCUAUAUACAACUUUCAGCAACGGAUCUCUUGGCUCUCGCAUCGAUGAAGAACGCAGCGAAAUGCGAUAAGUAAUGUGAAUUGCAGAAUUCAGUGAAUCAUCGAAUCUUUGAACGCACCUUGCGCUCCUUGGUAUUCCGAGGAGCAUGCCUGUUUGAGUGUCAUGGAAUUCUCAACUCCAUUUGCUUUUGUGAAUAGAGCUUGGACUUGGAGGUAUUGCCGGACUUCAUUGUUUCGGCUCCUCUUGAAUGCAUUAGCUCGAACCUUUGUGGAUCAGCUUCGGUGUGAUAAUUGUCUACGCCGUUCUGUGAAGCAUACAUUAUGGGUUUCGGCUUCCAAUCGUCCUUCACUGGACAAUACACUAUGACCUUUGACCUCAAAUCAGGUAGGGUUACCCGCUGAACUUAAGCAUAUCAAAAGCCCGGAGGAA
rnacentral:rRNA from 1 species